rnacentral:rRNA from 1 species
UACGAAGGGAGCUAGCGUUGCUCGGAAUCACUGGGCGUAAAGCGCACGUAGGCGGCUUACUAAGUCAGGGGUGAAAUCCUGGAGCUCAACUCCAGAACUGCCUUUGAUACUGGUGAGCUUGAGUCCGGAAGAGGUGAGUGGAACUGCGAGUGUAGAGGUGAAAUUCGUAGAUAUUCGCAAGAACACCAGUGGCGAAGGCGGCUCACUGGUCCGGUACUGACGCUGAGGUGCGAAAGCGUGGGGAGCAAACAGG